UACGUAGGGUGCAAGCGUUGUCCGGAAUUAUUGGGCGUAAAGAGCUCGUAGGUGGCCUGUCGCGUCGGCUGUGAAAACUCGGGGCUCAACUCCGAGCUUGCAGUCGAUACGGGCAGGCUAGAGUUCGGCAGGGGAGACUGGAAUUCCUGGUGUAGCGGUGAAAUGCGCAGAUAUCGGGAGGAACAUCGGUGGCGAAGGCGGUUCUCUGGGCCUUACCUGACGCUGAGGAGCGAAAGCGUGGGGAGCGAACAGG
rnacentral:rRNA from 1 species